rnacentral:rRNA from 1 species
AGAGUUUGAUCAUGGCUCAGAACGUACGCUGGCGGCACGCCUAACACAUGCAAGUCGAACGAAGUAGCAAUACUUAGUGGCAGACGGGUGAGUAACAUGUGGGUAUCUACCCUUUGGCCUGGAAUAACACGAGGAAACUUGUGCUAAUACCGGAUAAGUCUUUACGGAGAAAGCUUUAUGCACCAUUGGAUGAGCCCGCACUUGAUUAGUUUGUUGGUAGGGUAAUGGCCUACCAAGACUAUGAUCAAUAGCUGAUUUGAGAGGAUGAUCAGCCACAUUGGGACUGAGACACGGCCCAAACUCCUACGGGAGGCAGCAGUGGGGAAUCUUGCACAAUGGAGGAAACUCUGAUGCAGCGAUGCCGCGUGAGUGAAGAAGGCCUUUGGGUUGUAAAGCUCUUUCGUCGGGGAAGAAAAUGACUGUACCCGAAUAAGAAGGUCCGGCUAACUUCGUGCCAGCAGCCGCGGUAAUACGAAGGGACCUAGCGUAGUUCGGAAUUACUGGGCGUAAAGAGUAUGUAGGCGGCUAGAUAAGUUAAUUGUGAAAGCCCAAAGCUUAACUUUGGAACUGCAAUUAAAACUAUUUAGCUGGAGUAUGAUAGAGGAAAGCGGAAUACAUAGUGUAGAGGUGAAAUUCGUAGAUAUUAUGUAGAACACCAGUUGCGAAGGCGGCUUUCUGGAUCAUUACUGACGCUGAGAUACGAAAGUAUGGGUAGCGAAGAGGAUUAGAUACCCUCGUAGUCCAUACCAUAAACGAUGAUUAUUAAAUGUGGGGAAUUAUUUCUCUGUAUUAUAGCUAACGCGUUAAAUAAUCCGCCUGGGGAGUACGACCGCAAGGUUAAAACUCAAAUGAAUUGACGGGGACCCGCACAAGUAGUGGAGCAUGUGGUUUAAUUCGAAGAUACGCGCAGAACCUUACCAACACUUGACAUGUUCGUCGCGACUCUAAGAGAUUAGAGUUUUCGGUUCGGCCGGACGAAACACAGGUGCUGCAUGGCUGUCGUCAGCUCGUGUCGUGAGAUGUUGGGUUAA